GCGUGUUUUUUACUUGGGAGUGGAUUCAAGAGAAUUACGGAUCAUUGAACUUGUCUAAGUUUACCAACUUUAUUGGCGAUGACUGGGAUAUUUAUGCAAUGACAGGACUUGCCCUCCUGUUUGGAAUUCUUCUUCUACUUCGAAGGAGACAAUAAACAUCUUUUGUAGAAUUUGUACAGUAACCGUAGCUUGUAUGACUUUGCAAAAAAAUUUUGAUUUUAAGCAUAAUAAAAUGUUCCGGUUUCUUGUG